GAUGAACGCUGGCGGCGUGCCUAAUACAUGCAAGUCGAGCGAACGGACGAGAAGCUUGCUUUUCUGAUGUUAGCGGCGGACGGGUGAGUAACACGUGGAUAACCUACCUAUAAGACUGGGAUAACUUCGGGAAACCGGAGCUAAUACCGGAUAAUAUUUUGAACCGCAUGGCUCAAAAGUGAAAGACGGUCUUGCUGUCACUUAUAGAUGGAUCCGCGCUGCAUUAGCUAGUUGGUAAGGUAACGGCUUACCAAGGCAACGAUGCAUAGCCGACCUGAGAGGGUGAUCGGCCACACUGGAACUGAGACACGGUCCAGACUCCUACGGGAGGCAGCAGUAGGGAAUCUUCCGCAAUGGGCGAAAGCCUGACGGAGCAACGCCGCGUGAGUGAUGAAGGUCUUCGGAUCGUAAAACUCUGUUAUUAGGGAAGAACAUAUGUGUAAGUAACUGUGCACAUCUUGACGGUACCUAAGCAGAAAGCCACGGCUAACUACGU
rnacentral:rRNA from 1 species